AUCAGUGUCCCUAACAAUCAGCACGGACUGAGAACCGAGGGGAGACUCCCACAACGUCAAAGCUUCAGGUCUGAACGCCCCACCCUCUCCUCACGCCUCAGGCUCUCUGAGGACCCCACCUCAGCCCCGACCAGGAGCCCGAGCCACCCAUCCUCUCCUGAGCAAUCAAAAGGAAGUCUCGGUCUGAAACUCCUGGGUUCACCAUCCUGGGACUCGGGCCACAUAUUGUACCGAAAAGUUUUCCUGUUGCCUCAGCACCGAGGAAACUGUAAGGGUUUUGGAAGCUUUAUGUCAGGAACUGGGGCAGAGACCAAAUACACUUAUUACAUCACAGACAUAAUAAAAGAAACUGGCUUAUUCAGAAAGUAUGUCUCAAAGUGUUUCAAAAAGAUUGACCUGUUGUGAGAUGAUUUUCCAAAAUGCACUGGUUUAAACUGUGAUCACAUUUCCUUAUGAUCACAGCUAUUAAAUCUUUUAAAGAAAAGAUCCUGGGGGAGCUCGUUGUUCCAUUAUGUAACUGAGUAUUCUAAUCUCUCAUUUCUUUUCUGCUAAUGCUGAAAAUGCUUAAUAAAUAUCGUAACACUGAUAAUAACUAUGAUCACACAGAAAUUGUAAUAGCUUCUAUGCUCUCCACUUUACUAAUUAUUUUACUUAAUCCUAAAAUAAUCACACAAAGUAAGCACUUUUACUCCCUACUUUUUA
rnacentral:lncRNA from 1 species